UACGAAGGUGGCAAGCGUUGUUCGGAUUUACUGGGCGUAAAGGGAGCGUAGGUGGUUAGGUAAGCCCUCCGGGAAAUCUUCAGGCUUAACCUGAAAAGGUCGGGGGGGACUGUCUGGCUAGAGUCCGGGAGGGGCGAGUGGAAUUCCUGGUGUAGCGGUGAAAUGCGCAGAUAUCAGGAGGAACACCAAUGGCGAAGGCAGCUCGCUGGAACGGUACUGACGCUGAGGCGCGAAAGCGUGGGGAGCAAACAGG
rnacentral:rRNA from 1 species